rnacentral:rRNA from 1 species
CUUUACUGUAGCCUGGUAUUGGGUUCGGGCUUUGACUGCGCAGGAUAGGUGGGAGACUGAGAAGUGUGCCUUGUGGGGCACAUAGAGUCAACGGUGAGAUACCACUCUGUCAGAGCUAGAAUUCUAACCUUCACCCGUGAUCCGGGGAAGGAACCGUAUCAGGUGGGCAGUUUGACUGGGGCGGUCGCCUCCUAAAAGGUAACGGAGGCGCGCAAAGGUGUUCUCAGGCUGGUUGGAAAUCAGCCGUAGAGUGUAAAGGCAGAAGAACGCUUGACUGUGAGAGUGACAACUCAAGCAGGUACGAAAGUAGGCCUUAGUGAUCCGACGGCACAGCGUGGAAUGGCCGUCGCUCAACGGAUAAAAGUUA